rnacentral:rRNA from 1 species
AUUGAACGCUGGCGGCAGGCCUAACACAUGCAAGUCGAGCGGAUAAAGGGAGCUUGUUCCUGUCUUCAGCGGCGGACGGGCGAGUAAUUCCUAGGAAUCUGCCUUGUCGUGGGGGCUAACGUACGUACACGGGCCCUAAUACCGCAUACGUCCUGAGGGUGAACGUGGGGGUUCUUUGGACCUAGACCUAUCUGAUGAGCCUAGGUCGGAUUAGCUAGUUGGUUGGGUAAAGGCCUACCAAGGCGACGAUCCGUAACUGGUCUGAGAGGAUGAUCAGUCACACUGGAACUGAGACACGGUCCAGACUCCUACGGGAGGCAGCAGUGGGGAAUAUUGGGCAAUGGGCGAAAGCCUGAUGCAGCCAUGCCGCGUGAGUGAAGAAGGUCUUCGGAUUGUAAAGCACUGUAAGUAGGGAAGAACGGAAGUAAGAGAAAACAUGCCUGUCUUGACGGUACCAACAGAAUAAGCAACGGCUAACUUCGUG